CUGAGUACGGCGGAACACGUGAAAUUCCGUCGGAAUCCGGGAGGACCAUCUCCCAAGGCUAAAUACUCCCUAGUGACCGAUAGUGAACCAGUACCGUGAGGGAAAGGUGAAAAGCACCCCGGAAGGGGAGUGAAACAGUUCCUGAAACCGUGUGCCUACAAGUAGUUAGAGCCCGUUAAUGGGUGAUAGCGUGCCUUUUGUAGAAUGAACCGGCGAGUUACGAUUUGUUGCAAGGUUAAGCGGAAAAAGCGGAGCCGUAGCGAAAGCGAGUCUGAAUAGGGCGCAUAAGUAACAGGUCGUAGACCCGAAACCAGGUGAUCUACCCAUGUCCAGGAUGAAGGUAAGGUAAUACUUACUGGAGGUCCGAACCCACGCACGUUGAAAAGUGCGGGGAUGAGGUGUGGGUAGCGGAGAAAUUCCAAUCGAACUUGGAGAUAGCUGGUUCUCUCCGAAAUAGCUUUAGGGCUAGCCUCGAGGUAAAGAGUCAUGGAGGUAGAGCACUGUUUGGACUAGGGGCCCUUCUCGGGUUACCGAAUUCAGAUAAACUCCGAAUGCCAUGUACUUAUACUCGGGAGUCAGACUGCGAGUGAUAAGAUCCGUAGUCGAAAGGGAAACAGCCCAGACCACCAGUUAAGGUCCCCAAAUAUAUGUUAAGUGGAAAAGGAUGUGGGGUUGCUUAGACAACCAGGAUGUUGGCUUAGAAGCAGCCACCAUUGAAAGAGUGCGUAAUAGCUCACUGGUCGAGUGACCCCGCGCCGAAAAUGUACCGGGGCUAAACAUAUUACCGAAACUGUGGAUGAACCUCUUUAGAGGUUCGUGGUAGGAGAGCGUUCUAAGGGCGGUGAAGUCAGACCGGAAGGACUGGUGGAGCGCUUAGAAGUGAGAAUGCCGGUAUGAGUAGCGAAAGAAGGGUGAGAAUCCCUUCCACCGAAUAUCUAAGGUUUCCUGA
rnacentral:rRNA from 1 species